GACGAACGCUGGCGGCGUGCCUAAUACAUGCAAGUCGAACGCACAGUUUAUACCGUAGCUUGCUCCACCAUAGACGGUGAGUUGCGAACGGGUGAUUAACGCGUAAGUAACCUGCCUGGUAGCAGGGGGUAACUAUUGGAAACGAUAGCUAAUACAGCAUAAUAUUAAUUAUUGCAUGGUAAUUAAUGGAACGGUGCAAUUGCACCACUACAAGGUGGCCCUGCGGUGUAUUAGCUAGUAGGUGAGGUAACGGCUCACCUAGGGGAAGAUACAUAGCCGACCCUAGAGGGGGGACGGCCAACCCGGGAAUGGGACACGGCCCAGACUCCUUCGGGAGGCAGCAGUAGGGAAACUUCGGGAAUGGACGAAAGGCUGACCGAGCAACGCCGCGGGAGGGAAGAAGGGUCUCGGAUUGGAAAGCUCUGUUGUAAGGGAAGAACGGGUGUGAGAGUGGAAAGUUCACACUGUGACGGUAUCUUACCAGAAAGGGACGGCUAACUACGUG
rnacentral:rRNA from 1 species